rnacentral:lncRNA from 1 species
AAGGGUUCCCUUCUCCGAGUUCCUCUGGCAAACUUAGUCUCAGUAGAGGAUCUGCUAUCAGUCUUUACACACUCAAGUAAAUGCAAGACCCAAUGUGGAUCCCCUUUCUCAAGAUAGGUGAUCUACAAGUACUUCAGUUUGGUCCUCAUCCUGAAUAUGAACCCCCAAUCUAUCCAAACCGAGCCUGCUCUACAAAAGGAGAGGUAUGUUGGAAGAGCAAAACAUUUAGGCAAAUGCCCCUCCUCGAAGGAAAUCAGACAAUGGAUCCUACAAUACAGACCAGCCCUGGUCAAUAGUCUCUAACUCCUCCAAGAGAUCCAGAUAACAGUUGGGUUCCCCAAUCACAAGAAGUCUGUAAGUGAACAAGUGGAAGGAAGACCACACAUCAGGGAUAUUGAUCAUAUUCAGAUUGGACUAGAUAACCUUGAAGGUUCCUUUCACCUUUUGAGAUUCCACUUAUUUGAGAUGUACUUGAUGAUUCAGUGAAGAAUCUGGGAAGCCAAAUAAGGAUGCAGCCUGCAAGCGUAGAAGUGAGCAGUCUGAAGGAGUCUGAGUAUUUAGGCACUAAGAGCCAUGUGUGGGGUAUGUUUGACCUCCAUACUCAAGGAACCCUGGUGGUGUUGCUACAUCUGGUCCCAUUCAAAAGAAGAGUCUAAGGAAAAAACCGCUGUCAUUUUCUUCCUACUAAUCAUGUCUAUUCAAACUGCCACAAAGAGAAUGCAUAUGUCACUUUCUUGAAAAAGCUCUUCUUACAAACUCCUUCUGCUUUCCCUGAAUCUGCCUGAGUGUCAGAGAACACAGUAGAUAGGUAUGAUUGGGUGAUGUGGCAUUCUGGGUGCUGUGCUGGGGGGAGGGCUGUGCAGAGGGUGGGGGUAAAGAUCAGAACAGGAAAGGAGCAGUAGAAAGCCACUGAAGCAGGGUAGUGUCAGCAUAGACAGUCCUAUCACUGAGCUUGAAAGGGGUGUGUAAGAGGAAUGGGAAAAUCUAGAUCAAUCCAGAUAAAUAUGAGAUGACUUGGCUUAAAAAUCAAAUCAAGUGAAAGAACCAGAUGGAUACCAGUAAAAGGAGAGGGGAAAAGGCAGAGGGCCAAAUCAUUUGAAUCAGUCACAAUUUAAAGGUAGAAGAGACCCUGGAGAUAAUCCACCACUGUCACCUUAUUCCAACAGGAGCCUUGAGAGGUGAAGUGAUUUAUUUAAAGUUGGUCACAUAGAAGUGAUGGGCAGAUAUGGGACUAUAACCCAGGGCUCCUGACUCCCUAUUCAGUACACUUUCCAUUCAUCCAUGGUGCCUCAGGAUUAUUGGCUAUCCUCAAAAAGCAAUGACCCUGGAGAUCCUGCUCUUGGUCCUGCUGUGUGUGACCCUGAACAAGUCUCUUACUUUCUCUGUUGCCUUUGCUUCUCCACUUACAAAAUGACAAAGAGGGAUGUAAGCUUUAGCACCUUCAAGUGACACCCGAUAACAGAAGAAUAAGCCAUUCUGUUCUCAAAGAAUGGGAAAUGGAUGGUGAGGUCAGAGGAUUAAACAUAGUCAUGAAAAUAAAAUGGCUGGCCCUUCAAGUCCUGCA